rnacentral:rRNA from 1 species
GACGUAGGGCGCGAGCGUUGUCCGGAUUUAUUGGGCGUAAAGAGCUCGUAGGCGGUUUGUCGCGUCGUCCGUGAAAACUCACAGCUUAACUGUGAGCUUGCGGUCGAUACGGGCAGGCUAGAGUUCGGUAGGGGAGACUGGAAUUCCUGGUGUAGCGGUGAAAUGCGCAGAUAUCAGGAGGAACACCGGUGGCGAAGGCGGCUCUCUGGGACGGUACUGACGCUGAGACGCGAAAGCGUGGGGAGCGAACAGG